GAUGAACGCUGGCGGCGUGCCUAAUACAUGCAAGUCGAGCGAAUGGAUUAAGAGCUUGCUCUUAUGAAGUUAGCGGCGGACGGGUGAGUAACACGUGGGUAACCUGCCCCUAAGACUGGGAUAACUCCGGGAAACCGGGGCUAAUACCGGAUAACAUUUUGAACCGCAUGGUUCGAAAUUGAAAGGCGGCUUCGGCUGUCACUUAUGGAGGGACCCGCGUCGCAUUAGCUAGUUGGUGAGGUAACGGCUCACCAAGGAAACGAUGCGUAGCCGACCUGUGAGGGUGAUCGGCCACACUGGGACUGAGACACGGCCCAGACGCCUACGGGAGGCAGCAGUAGUGAAUCUUCCGCAAUGGACGAAAGUCUGACGGAGCAACGCCGCGUGAGUGAUGGAGGCUUUCGGGUCGUAAAACUCUGUUGUUAGGGAAGAACAAGUGCUAGUUGAAUAAGCUGGCGCCUUGACGGUACCUAACCAGAAAGCCACGGCUAACUACGUGCCAGCAGCCGCGGUAA
rnacentral:rRNA from 1 species